GGGGAUAUGGUGGAAUUGGUAGACACGUGGCGUUCAGAGCGCCAUGACCGCAAGGCCGUGAGAGUUCGAGUCUCUCUAUCCCCA
rnacentral:tRNA from 4 species